CCUACGGGAGGCUGCAGUGGGGAAUUUUGGACAAUGGGCGCAAGCCUGAUCCAGCAAUGCCGCGUGCAGGAUGAAGGCCUUCGGGUUGUAAACUGCUUUUGUGAACCGCUCGGUACCGUAAGAAUAAGCACCGGCUAACUACGUGCCAGCAGCCGCGGUAAUACGUAGGGUGCGAGCGUUAAUCGGAAUUACUGGGCGUAAAGCGUGCGCAGGCGGUUAUAUAAGACAGAUGUGAAAUCCCCGGGCUCAACCUGGGACCUGCAUUUGUGACUGUAUAGCUAGAGUACGGUAGAGGGGGAUGGAAUUCCGCGUGUAGCAGUGAAAUGCGUAGAUAUGCGGAGGAACACCGAUGGCGAAGGCAAUCCCCUGGCCGUACUGACGCUCAUGCACGAAAGCGGGGGAGCAAACAGGAUUAGAUACCUUGUAGUC
rnacentral:rRNA from 1 species